rnacentral:lncRNA from 1 species
UUGUCUGACAGCCUUAAUUAAUACAAACUCACGCACAUCCUUACAUAUGUAUAAGAAAAUGCUACAGAAAAUUUUCCAAUGAGCGAUGAAGAAGUGGUCUUGGUGAGUAAGGAAACCUGAAUUGAAAUAAAUAGAUGGGGUGGUGGGAUGUGGAAUGGGCUUGGAUCAGUUGAAGCAUAGGUAUGAUGCCAUGCUGGUAGAUUCUCAUUAUCCGGACAGUCAAUGUGGCACUCCCCCAUGACUCGUUCAAUGUUCGAGCUUGACCCUUGC